rnacentral:rRNA from 1 species
UGCGGCCCUAGGACUUGUUCUUGGGCCACACCUGACUGAGGGUCGG